rnacentral:rRNA from 1 species
UACGAAGGGUGCAAGCGUUACUCGGAAUUACUGGGCGUAAAGCGUGCGUAGGUGGUUUGUUAAGUCUGAUGUGAAAGCCCUGGGCUCAACCUGGGAAUUGCAUUGGAUACUGGCAGGCUAGAGUGCGGUAGAGGAUGGCGGAAUUCCCCGGUGUAGCAGUGAAAUGCGUAGAGAUCGGGAGGAACAUCUGUGGCGAAGGCGGCCAUCUGGACCGCACUGACACUGAGGCACGAAAGCGUGGGGAGCAAACAGG